AUGGGAGAUACAACGGCGGCCAUGCUGCUCCCGGACGACAUCAUCCUCGAGAUACUCCUCCGCGUCUCUACCGAUUCCGCUACCCUGUUCCGCUGCGCUGCCACGAGCAAGCGGUGGCGCGCUCUCAUAGCUGACCGCCCCUUCCUCCAAAGCUGCUGGACGGCGAACGCUAGACACCCGUCACUCCGCCUUGGCUUCUUGAUUCAGCAACAAUGCAACAAGGAGGACAUCAACUCCCCUUACCCGCCGCUCUUCGUCCCGCCACUGGGGUCGGUACGGUGCUCGGCGCUCGCCACCGCCUCCUCACCGACAUCCUAUCUCGCGUCCCGGAUGGCCUCUUGGAUGGUGCGAAGCCACUUGCUGAGCGCCAUGGCCUACUCGUCGGGCGGCUUCUCGCUGCUCCAAUGGAAAUAUGAUAAUGCGGUCGUGUGUCGUGGAGUGGCACACUGGCUCGCCUGGUACUUAUCGGAAGUCGGAGCCUCAACUAAAUAUUACUCCUUAGACGUGAGUGCCGAGACCGACCUUGUCUCCUUGAAAGAGAUCUCAGUCCCUUUUUACCAACUUCCCGACAAUAGUAGCAUGCUGCCAAUGCUCAGCGUCGCCGCGGACGGGUCUCUCGCAAUGUUUUGCGCGCGCAAGGAAUUUGGCAUUUGGUACAUAGACAUGUGGACGCGGGGAAACGACACCGAUAGUGGAGUCUGGCUCCGCACUAAGGCGGUCAAACUAAAUGUUGAGGUUCGCCCUUAUGCACGCAUGUGGCGCAAAGAGAAGGGUGGUACGCUUCUCAUCAUAGACGAUUCAUGGGUCGUGCGGUGGGUUGAUAUCGAAAACCUAAGAAUGGAAGUAGAACAUUUCCCGGGUGGCAUAGCCAAGAUCAACAAGUACUCCCUACAAGCUGCCAGCCAUGGCCGCAACGAACCACCGCAUUGUGCCGCUCCUUCUGCUCCUGGCACUAUUCUCGCUGGCCGCGGCCGGGCAUCCGUCGCCGCCGUCGGACAAGCAAUGCCCUCCGACCCCACCCACGCCGCCGACCCCGCCGACACCACCGACGCCGCCCGGGGGGCAGACCCCGCCGACACCACCCACCCCUGCUACCCCGCCUACCCCGCCGUGCCGAAGGUUGACACGGUGAAGCUGCUAGUGUACGUACCACAGUACGUAGUGCUGCCCAUCGCCAUGGAGGCGCUGGACAACAAGUGCGGCUGCGGUCCUCCACCUUCCACUGCCCUUAAGUCCCUAAAAACUAGUACCACCUUCCACCUUUGUCUUGGCCUCUUGGGUUUGUACUAA
rnacentral:rRNA from 1 species